CGCGCCCGCGCCUCCCACUUCCUGGGGGUUCGCAGCACAGGUGCCAGCUAGAAGCUUCCGAGCUCUACUCAACUCUUUUAAUUGCUCCUUGGAGUGGUCUACUCACCACAUCCAUUUGAUGCUCAAUCCCAAUGUCUUUCAAAUGAAUGGAUCUUCAAAUUGAUUUAAUACAUCUUUACCAGCAUUAAAAAAAAAAAAGAAGAAGAAAUAGAAAAUCUCAAGUACAUGAAAUGAGUACAGGUAUAUAUCCUGGUAAUACCAUAAAAAGAUUCAGUGAACUUCCUGUACAUCUGAUCACACAAAAAGAAACAAAAAGAAAAAAAAGAAAGAAAAUUGAAUAGAUGGACCAGCGAACAGACUGAAAUACGACUGAAAUUACUUCGUUUUCCCCUGGAAGUCAAACUAUGAAGCACUUUAUAAUCCAUAAACUAAGCAGGUGGAGAGACUUGUGUUCCUCAAGAGCGAGGUUGGCCCAGUUGGGCGGGGCUUAGCGUAAUGGCUCUGUUCUCCACUAGAUGGCGCUGCUUAGCUUACUGGGGUGAAUUGUUGCGCUUGUAGGUGCAUCUGCGCAUGUGCGGGAGAGGUGAAAAUGGCGUCACCCAGCUACCCAGUCUCCAGUAUAGGAACUCUGUUCUCCCCGAUCAGCAAUGGCACACCCGUCCUUUGUUUUUGGCUUCCAUCCACUGCCUGCUUUUACACAGUCCGUGACCAAGCCCCAUGCGGCACCUUCCUCCUGAGUUUUGUCUCAGAUGCAGCUGUUUUUCCCAACCUCUUACUUCUGAGGGACUGCGGCUAUGACACGUUCUGCCCCUCUGCAGGAGGGUCUUACCAAGCAAUGGCCGGGUGCCUGACGCAGCCAGGAAAGUUCAUGUUAUUGUGCUGCAGCCGAUGCCCAGAGACUGCAUCCAGGUGCCAGCCCGCCCCAGAAAAAGUGCGGGAGACAGUGUAGCAGCAGUGUUUCAGGGACUAUGGAAAAAUCACAACACACAUCUGGCACCAGGCUUUACCCUUAAGGACCUUGUUCUAGCACCAGCAAAUGUGGUUGUUCUCCCGGGUCCACAGGGGCCUUGCCUUUAGGGGACCCAGACAGCCUUUACCAGCUCUUCCUGUGUGGCCUGAAGAACCCCGGACUCCACUCUGCUCCUGAGGAUUCGCCCUUCCCACCAGAGCACCGGCAGACUGCGGACCCUUGCCAAGACACACAAAAAUGUAAAGGUAUGGAAAUGACCAUUGCCCAGAUCCUCACCAAGGAUCAAGAUGCUAUGCUGCUGAGAACACCAAGCCCCAAGAUGCCUGGGAAAGACAUUGUCCCCUGGAAUUUGCAAUGGGAUGGCCCUUGGGAUGAAUGGGUUACUUUGGAUCUCUCGGUGAGGGGGAACUAAUCAAUUUCCACUGGGAUCCUGUUGUCUGGCUGCAAGCCAGAAUGAAACAUGCACCACUGAAGAAGGGAAGAAGGUGGGGAUCCUGGUCUGGCAAAUCCCACCCCCUAUCUGUCUUCUCAUGCCUGACAGUGCUGCUUGCUUCAGCCAACAUGUAUGGUAUGCAUAACUAAGUCAAAUUCCUAAAACUGUAGCCAUCUUAACAUCUAAGGAUCAGGCCACAAGUAUAAUUUUUAGAGAAGGGGAACACCUUCCCAUACAAGUUCCUAUUAAAUGUCUGUCUUUUUGACCUUAGACUUGUGCUGCUCCAGUGGUAUCUGGUCAUGGACUGGGUACAGGAUGGAAAUAUCUUUCUGCACUGGGUGCCUUCAUAUGCCUGGCAAAUGAAUCAUUCCAACCGUUGGGUACGUGGGAAAGAUGCCCCUCAAGCUUAACAGGAUUACCAUGGUGGGUAUCACCACUCCAGGGAAGGGACUGGAAGGCCUAACACAGUACAUUAAAGAACAAGCUAGGUCUAGUAUUCUCAAUUCAACUGGUACCACCAGUACUGAUGCAGAAACCUGGCCUGUGAUACACACCUGGCCUGUGUAUCAAUAACACUGGGUGUAGGUAGUCCUCUUCUGUCACUCAAAUUAUACACCCAGUCCUAAAAAUACCACUAGUAGAGCCAUGGGUGGCUACAGUCAGAUUUGGAAUGGGUUCAUCUGGCUUAUAGACAUUUGAGUCUUGGAUUAUAGACAUUUGAGUACCUGGAUACCCCUAUUUUGGAAACAGAAGAAUCAAUUUAAACAUAACUGGCUCAAUUUAAACAUACUGGAGUAUGGGAUGGAUGUCACUGGCCCAUUCUGUCACAUUACAGGAUAGUGACUAGUUUGGCACUAAAUGGUCACACUGCCUAGGUAUUUCUUGGGUAGUCCCAAAUGGGGCCACAUGGGUGUGUGACACAAAUCUUUGGCCAUGGCUUCCACCUGGUUGGUUGGGCCACUGCAACCUAGGUUUCUGGUGGGCACAGGGGAGAAUCUGCCCCAUGGUAGUGAAAAUUGCCAACCUUCCUCUUUGCAAGGUCAAACGUGCAUAUUCUGUUUUCCACUGGUAUAAUCAUUUGGCUGCCGUCUUUGUCCCCUCCAAUGACCUGGAGGACCAGUACACAGAAACCCUUACUACAUUCACCCAACAAGGCUUAAAUGGUAGCCAGCAAGCCUGUCUUUACUGAACCCUGAAAUGUCUUUAAUGAGAAAAGCUGUCCUCCAAAAUAGAAUGGCUUUGAACAUUACUGCUGCCUUGCCAAGAGGUACCUGUGUCAUUAUCCAAAAAAGAAGGUUGUGUGUUCAUACCUGAUGAGUAUGCUAAUGUGUCAUCUUUAUUAAAUCAUAUGAGACACAGUGAAUGUCCUGAGUGAUCUGACACCCAGCUUAGGGGACUUAGUAAAUCAAUGGUACGGAUCACAGGGCUUUUGGUGGAAAAAGCUGUCACUGAGUUGGAGCAUCGUUGUCUUAAUCUGUGUUUUCUCUUGCAUGUAACUGUAUUAUUGGUAUGGUAUCUUCCUCCAGGCAGCCAGAUAGCUGCCAAAGGAGUCACCUCCAUGCUAAUGAAACACCUUGCAGACUGCUCAGGUCACACUAUAGAAGAGGGGGGCUUAUGAGAUUAUAAGAGCCAGUAUAGAGGAGUGAAGUGUUGGAGGAAGUCAUUGACAGGAUGUGACCACUGAUUGACUGAGGAGCUGGACCUCCACAAUGGGAGGCUCCUGUCUUUGGAAUGUUCCCUCUGCUCACUGUUCCCACAGGUGGAGCUAUUUUAUUUUAUUUUAUUUUAUUUUAUUUUAUUAUUUUAUGAUUUUUUAAAAUGUUUAUAUAUUUGUUUUGAGAAGGAGAGAGAGAGAGAGUGCGAGUGGAAGGACGGAGAGAGAGAGGGACAGAGAGAGAAUCCCAAGCAACCUCAGCUCUGUCAGUGCAGAGCCCUACGUGGGCUCAUAAACUGUGAGAUCAUAACCUGAGCCAAGCUAACUGAGCCACCCAGGCGUCUCUAGGUAGAGCCAUUUUAAAAGGACAGAGCCUUGAGCAAUGUGUUGCUGAAAGCAUCUGGAGGGCGCAGAUGAAGAAACCCAGUUAAGGCCUCUAUACAAAUUUUCACGAUUCUGGAAGGCAGGUAAGGAGAUCUGUUCAUUUCACAGCAACACAAGAAAAACCUUAUAAGGUCUCUUGCUUAUUCAACCUGCCAUCUACCAAUCUGGAGUGGCUGGCCUGUUUCUUCAGUCUUUCCUUGGCCUCUAUGAAUGGGGGCCAUUGUCAGGUUUCCCCUGAGAAGCUGCCACAGGUGCAAACCAACAAUACCAAGAACUCACUGUCCACUGUUCAGUUUUUUAACCCAGGCUCAUCUAUGGUUUGCAAAUGAUGCUGAGUGCCUUUUCAAAAAGGCGAGGAUAAUUCUUGUAUUAUCCAGAUAUCUUUCCUACGUCUCUGCAGAUAUUUAAUUGGCAUUGAACCUUGUUGCCGUUUUGAGGAACUAUUGUGCUACUCUUGUGAUGAAUACUGUUAUGGGGUCUGCUUAGUUUUAUAUGCCUUAGGAUAUAAUUGGAUAGUGUAAUGGCCGUACUUAAGAAUUCACUUUUAUGUAUAUUAAAGCCCUUUGUAAAGUGCUAUGAAAUGACAACAUAAUUGUUAUUGUUGUUACUCCCAACGACUGUUGAGCUGAUGCUUUCUCAGCAUAGUCACCAUGAGGAAAUACCUGGAUGAUUGAAUCCAUUCUUUGUUUUUAAAAUGUCCAUUGACUUGAAGACUUUUUCCAAGGACAGGAAGCAAAAUUUAACACAUGCUUCUAGGCUUCUCUUUAUAUUCUCAAGUAUGGUUUACAGCCUCGAGCAUGGUUGUCCUUUCCGACAGAACUAUCUUUUAUCUUCUUUUUACAAGAUAAGAUUGAUCUAUUUUUUAAGCUAAUACACCACUGGCUUUAUAUCCUUGUUGUAGGCUUUGGGAAUAGGUUAAAGCUUCUUUGUGUUGCAUUAUUUACUGUGCAGCUACAUUCAAAAACACAAUGAGUAUACUGAAAUUAAUAACUCUAGGAGGGUGCAAAGUGAUAGUAUUCACAGUCAAUUAUAGAGAUGAUCUAUUACAUUAAUAUAAUACUGAUGCUAUUUGAAUGCAAUAUAGUGAAGAAAAAUAAAGUGGCAGGCUAACAGAAUUUCAGUUUUUGAGUUCAGAAAAAAAAAGAUAAAUGGUUAGCGGGUGUGGUUUAAUAGUUCAAGUGCAUAUGCUAUAAGCUCUUAUUUCAAUGUCAGCUCUUAGCAAAGGACACCAGGCAAAUGAACUUGAAUAUCCAUUUGAUUUACUAGCUUCUUAAAAACUGAAUAAGGUUUUAUAUACUUUGUAAAGACUUACUAGCAAAAAGGAUAAGAGGGUGGGUUUUAAUGGAGGUAAUCCUCUAAGAAAUUACUCCUUAGCAGUUAGAAAUACAGAAAAGCAAGAUAAACUUGAAAUAAGCCUGAUAAAUCCUAUCUUACUCAUUGUCUUCACUUAAUAGGUACCUUGGAUCUGGAUUAAGCUGUGCUCAGUAGUCACCCUGAGAAAUUCUAUUCUUUAUGUAUUCUCCUUCCACUCCUCCUCUUACUGGGCUAAUGAUUACUUUCCCACCUACAAGUUAUGAAUGAAGUCACUGAAUGCAAUUAUUGGGUGGAGUUCUUGGAUUAAGAUCACGGAUCUUUAAUGAGCCUUCAUGGGUUCUAUAAAUGGUGAUUCUCAGACCUGCCUGGGCACCAGAAUCACCUAUGUAGCUGGUUAGAAAUACACAUGCCUGAGUCUCCUUCCCAUAGGAUUGAUUCUAUAUAUCCGGGAGGACCCAGGAUAGAUGUAGUUUAUGAUACAGAAAGAGGAUUGAGAACCCUUACCAUUGUUGGUUCAAAGUACAUUUUAUUAAGAGGUGGGAAUUGAAAAAAAAUAAGUAUGCUAUAACAUUGAUUUGAAUUUAUAUUAUUUUAUAUAUUUUAUGCAUAUAAAUUAAUUUUUAUUAUGCAAGUAUACCUGUAUACUGUAGAAGCAUAAGAAAAUACAGAAGCACAAGGAACAAAAUAGUUUCAAAUAUGACCAGUUAAUUUUUUAAAAAAUACAGAUGGACACUGAGAUUUUAACUAUAGUAAGAGAGCAUUUGCCUUUGAAAUUAGAAAUAGAAAUCCAAGGGUGCUCCAUAGAGUUGUUGUUCUUGUGUAUUGGUUGAUAUUCUUUACUGAAGGGAAGAUCUUAUCCACCCUUUCUUCCUCUACCCAAAUAUUUUUCUGUUUUUUUUUCUUCUUCAAGGAAUUGGCAUAUAUGAGUUAAUAAGGGGGUUCAGCAAAGCUAAUAAUGGGCUUUUGGAAUUAUCAAUUCUGGAGACAGACUAAGCUGGUGAUGGCAGUUCACUCAUUCAUUCAUUUAUCUAUUUGACAAAUAUUUAUUGAGCACCUACUAAUAUGCCAGACACUAUGCUAUGUGUUGGGAAUAUUCAAUCCCUUCUCUGGAGAAACUUCAGACUCUAGUAUAGGAUAUAGACAAACAGACAAACAGACUGUUUAUGUGCUGUGAAAGAUAUGUAUAGGAUGUGUUUAGUACACAGAUAAGGGAUAUCUAAGUCAGAAUGGAGAGUCAAGGGGGAUGAAUAUAAAGAAGGGACAUAAAAGCAGGGUAUCAGAGGUAGAAGACACAGAUGGCCAUUUAGAGAUUUUGGAAAUCUUCAUCAAGGGGUCUUCACUUACUCUAUUUACUGGGAAAGCUCUUCUUUGUUCCCUGAUACUAUUAUUAUUUUUUGUAGUAUUUUGGUUUCUUUUUCAUAGAUGCAUUAUCUUUUAUUGUAUUUCCAAAGGUCUCAAUAAUAUUUUGAAAUUUUCUUUUCCUUGCAUAGUUUGUUUCUUCUGAGAAGCAUUUUUAGUUUUGUUUGUUUUGGUUCCCGUCUUUCACGGUAGAGGUCACAUAGUUCUGAGAAGUCUCUUGUAAUCUCCUGCCAGAUGAAUUAUCUAUCUGCCUGACUUUCAACUUCUGUGAAGGGCAGGGGGUAAGAGCAUUGGGGGUGCAGCACUUACAAUGUAAACAUUCACCAGGGAAAAGGGGUCACCCAGCUAAUCUGGUUUUAUAAUGGUGGGAUAACUGGUUCUUAAAAAGAUUUUCCACCAAUUUUCAUAUUUUGACUUUAUUUUCACCUACACCUCAGGCAGGGGUGGGAGUGGUGCAGUCACAUGGUAUAAAUGAGGCUGCUUCUGAAAGCCCCCUUACCUGUUUUGCAUUUUGCCUUCCUGUGCCUGCUGUCAGUUACCAUUUGUCAGGUAUUUACUUUCUGGCUUCAAAAUGUUUGUUAUUUUUCUCUAACUCUGCUGUUCUCUUUGUCUUUGUAGCUUUGUGUCUUAAAGCAAAGCAAAACAAAUAAAACACCACCAUUAUGAGAUGGUUUCAGGAAGGGGAGAAAGUGAAUUCAUGUAUUCUGUUUGCCUUUUGACCUGCACCUAAGUGCCUCGUUUUUGUAGGAUACUGUGCUAAGAAUUUAAUUAAUAAUAAUUCUAGGUAAAACAGGCAUUAUUAUCGUAUUACUUUUGCAGAUUGGGGAACUGAAUUUCAGAGUGAUUAAGUGGCCAAAGAACAGACAAAUGCCAGAGCUAUGGCUAAUAAGUGGCUCUCCAAUCUAUGGAGUGGUUCACAGAGAUGAUAAGAUUUUGGGCUAGCAUUGCUUCACAGACAAGCUCCUUAUCCUGUCCCUUAUCAGGGUUAACCCUGAUCCCAAACCCAGUUUUGGGGACUAUGAUAGUGAGGGCCUGUGAAGGGAACAUUGGGCGUGGUAUGCCAUGCGAGAGGCCCUGUUCCCUAAAGAGCUGACUUUUAUCAGGUCUGUCAUUAGUAUGGAUCGGACUGUUUUCUGAUACAAAUUCUUUCUUUUAGGAACUUGACAAAGUUGCAUUUUGAUGAUCUAUUUUAGUAUUUUGCUAAUUAUGAAAUGCAGACCACCUGCUUUCAAAAUAAGGUGCUGGAAUGGAGAAUAAUAGAGAUGUAAAUAUGGUGCCUUUUAUGGGCAAAAGCAGAUUUUUUAGCAGCAUGUUUUAAAAAAUUAGAAAUUUAACAGCUGUUUUGCAAAAUAAGUGAAAUGCUUCCAUCUUGCUAAAGAAUAUGCACAGGUAAUUAAUUUUAAAGAAAAACUUGUGACCUCAUUUGACAGUAUUAGCAUCACUAAAUUAAUUAAUAAACUAAUUUUAUCUGUCAAAUUAUCGACUAGAUUCUGAACCUCUGUUCACUAAAAGCACUGCGUUUUUUUUUUUUAAUGAGAAGUAAAUAUAAAUUAAUAAGACCAAUUUUCUGGUGGAGUUUGUGAAAUUGACCUCAUAGUUUUAUGCACAUAACUGGUAUGGAGUGGAAUAUACAUUACUUUUGUGGUAGGGGCACCUGGGUGGCUCCAUCAUUUCAGUAUCCAGCUCUUGAUUUCGGCUCAGGUCAUGACCUCAAGGUUCGUGGGUUUGAGCCUCACAUCAGGCUAUGUGCUAGGGGCCUGCUUGGGAUUCUCUUUCUCUCUCUCUCUGUCCCUCCCCUGCUCACACACCCUCUCUCUUAAAAUAAUAAGCUUUUUAAAACAAAUAUGCAUUGUGUUAGAUGAUUUUUUCCAAGUGUAGGCUAAUGUAAAUGUUCUGAGCAAAAUUGAGGUAGACUAUAUUAAGCUAUGAUGUGUGGUAGGUUAGAUGUAUUAAGUGCAUUCUUAAAAAUGUUUUUUUAAAUGUUUAUUUGAGAGAGAGAGAGAGAGAGAGAGAGAGAGAGAGAGAGGGAGGACCGGGGGAAGGGCAGAGAGAAAGGGAGAUACAGAACCUGAAGCAGGCUCUAGGCUCCCAACUGUCAUCACAGAGUCCAAUGCAGGGCUCAGACUCCCAAAACGUGAGAUCAUGACCUGAGCUGACAUCAGCCACUUAACCAACUGAGACACCCAGGCCCCCCAAAUGCAUUUUUGAAGUAUAUUUUCUACUUAUGAUGAGGUUAUUAGGUUGCAAUCCCAUUGUAAGUAAAAGAAGAUCUGUACACCAAAUUUAAAAUACGAAAGAGGAAAAAGAGAUACUUGAAAAAUCCUAUCUCUUCCUACAAGCUUUCCAUAAUUUCUAUGCAAAUUUCUUAGCCAGCAAGCAGUUUACCUUGGCCCCUUGUGUGGACAGAAUGUUUUUGUCCUCGCAAAUUCACCUUUUGAAGCCUUAGCCCAUGAUGCCAUGGUGUUUGGAGAUGGGGCCUUUCAGAGGUAAUUAAGUUUAGAUUAAUUCAUGAGUGGUGAAAGUCUUAUGUUGGGCUUAGUGCCUUAUAAGAAGGGAAAGACAGACGUGAGACAGAGACAGAGACAGAUUGCCAUCUCUUGCUCAUGUGAGUUGACAGAACAAAGAAGAGAGCUUUUACCAACACCUUAUCGUGCUGGUAACCUGAUCUCAGACUUUCAGCCUCCAGAGCUGUGAAAAAAUAAAUUACUGUAUUUAAGUCAUCCAGUUCAUGCUAUUUUGUUAUGACAACCCAAGCUGACUAAUAUACCUCUCAACAUUGCUUUUUGUCUUGUUCUAAGCUUCCUCUGUUCUCAGGGUAAAAUAUAUCCCAAGGAACCUGAAAAACUUCCUCUUGUCAAUACUUGGUAAACCUCUGUGUCCCAAAUUUUGAGGAGAAGUUUUGAAAAUCCAGAUUUUUGUAUAUACUUUUAAUAUAGAAAUAUUAUCCUAUAAUAUAUUUCUAUGCUGGUCUACCCACAAACAGCACGUUUACAAAUUUUGUUUCAUUGUGUAUGUCCUAUCUCCUAAGAUCCUUGAAGGGAGUGUCUGUGUCUUAUUUUUAUUCUAUCAUUCCCAAAGGUCUAAAAUGAUUGAUAAUCAAAUACUAUAUAUUCUAGUUGAUGCUGAAUCUACUUGCUCUUUCUCUGAUCACUUUCUUCUUUAGGUAAAUUAUUCUCAAUUACAUGCAUUCCUCCAUUCUUCUUCAAUUUUUUUUUUUUUUUAAUUUCAUUUGGUUCUCCUUUGAUUUUUCAGAUUUUGGUGAACUUCUGUUUGGAAACAUAGUGGGGGAAAUCUGUCCAUACUCACCACUUUUUAACCAUAUAUACACUUUUGGACCCAAAGGUGGGAGCAUUGGCGUGGAGAUCUGUUUUCACACGAGGGCCUUGAAUUGUACAUAGAAAGGAAUUGACAGAUACUAAAUAUAAGGAAGGUUUUCUCCAGUUCUGCAUUUUCUUUCUGUUUUCAUCACCCACUAUCUUGAUUGAUAUUUCAACAGUAGUGCUGUGCUCCUGCUCCGUGGUCCAAUUUCUCUCGCUCUCAGUGGGAAGGCUUCUCUUUUGUUUAUCUAUUUGUUCCUAUUAUGUAGAAAUUAAGCUUUAAGUGGCUAUACACCUGUUUAUUCAUUCUGAAAGUGCUAUUGCUCACUGUUACUGGUUGUUUUUGAUGCUAAUACUGCUUCUUGCCUUGUUUUAUUUGGAGUCCUGACAUGUUUGCAGGUCUACAGUAGCUAAUAAAUAACAAUAAUGAAUUUUUUACCAGUUCUUGUUCCUCCCUCACCACAAUCUUCCUGGAGUCAAAAU